rnacentral:rRNA from 1 species
AUUGAACGCUGGCGGCAGGCCUAACACAUGCAAGUCGAGCGAGCGGCGGACGGGUGAGUAAUGUCUGGGGAUCUGCCUGAUAGAGGGGGAUAACUACUGGAAACGGUAGCUAAUACCGCAUACUAUCGGAUGUACCCAGAUGGGAUUAGCUAGUAGGGGGGGUAAAGGCUCACCUAGGCGACGAUCCCUAGCUGGUCUGAGAGUAUGACCAGCCACACUGGAACUGAGACACGGCCCAGACUCCUACGGGAGGCAGCAGUGGGGAAUAUUGCACAAUGGGCGCAAGCCUGAUGCAGCCAUGCCGCGUGUAUGAAGAAGGCCUUAGGGUUGUAAAGUACUUUCAGCGGGGAGGCGUUACCCGCAGAAGAAGCACCGGCUAACUCCGUGCCAGCAGCCGCGGUAAUUC